rnacentral:lncRNA from 1 species
CCAAGUUUGCGCUCUUCGACCACUAAGCCCAUGUAAGUUCAUAAUGGGGCUGGGCAAAUAAGUAUAAAAAGCCCAAAUAAUUCCAGAUGAAAAAGAGGAUCUUAUCAGUCUCUCUGUGGGGAUGAACAAGAUUGCCGCUUCAGUCCCUUUCAAAACCUCCGACGUCGUGCGACGAUCGGACCCACGGAUUGUCACCGGCGGGAGUAUAGUGACCCAAGAAAAGAUAAAAUUGUCGAGAAUGAAGGUUUCCCCAAAUUCCAUAACAGGUUAAAGAACCCUAAAUCUUGGAGAGCCGCUUUUUGUGGUCAAGAAACUUGUAAGUUGGAUAGGGCUUCUAUGGCUCCUAUUACAGAAUACGAUCGCUACGUUACAAUAAUUUCCACGGAAGAUACGCAUAUCAUAUGCCCCACAAACAAUCGAAUUACUGGUCCAAUUUUACACUUUAGUGCACAAAAAUGAAAUUAUUUUUAAGAAUAUAAUACUAUGCUAAUUGCUAAGUUUGAAUUGAUUAUGUAAUGAGUAACAAUAAUGUGCUGUAUUCCAGAUGUAAUAGUAUAUGAUUAAGAUUUUAAACAAUGUCUUUAGUAGUUAAUGGAGUAACUUUUAACACGAGUAAAAAAGAAAAGGAUAUGGAAUAUGAUGAGUAAGGUGGCGCCAUAACGACCAUAAAAUUUAUCCAAAUUUCUACCACCACCCAAACACCAUCUUCCAAUCCAGACAAAAAACAUUCACUAUAACUCUUUGAAAGUGUGUGUGUGUGUGUUGAAAGUGUGUGUUGGCUGGUGCAGAAGGUGGACAGCUGCAAUGGCUAUGGCAAUAGCUCUUCGGAGGCUUUCCGCUACAGUUGACAAACCGGUUAAGAGUCUCUACAAUGGUGGCUCUCUCUAUUACAUGGUUUGUAUUUAAUACUUGUUUAUUUAUAGUAGUACUACGUAUUACUUUUCCUUAAGUUAUCUUUACUUUGCUUUGUUUGUUGCAGUCAUCACUGCCUAAUGAAGCUGUAUACGACAAAGAAAAAUCUGGGGUAGCUGUAAGUUCAUGAUGAAUUGGAAUCAAUGUGUUAUUUGAAAUUAUACUUGUGUUUUUUUCAUUUCUGACUUGAAUACUUUCAGUGGCCAAAGCAACUGAAUGCUCCACUAGAGGUUGUUGAUCCUGAGAUUGCUGACAUUAUUGAGCAUGAGAAAGCACGCCAAUGGAAGGUUCUAUCUUCUUCUCUUUUUUUUUUCUUUCUUUUCCAUCUCUCACUUACUCAAAUUUUGUUCAAUUACUUAUACUGAUAAAAGCUUUACCGCAAAGGGAUUAAGGCUCAGAUUGUAGCAAAUUAGAACAUUUAACUAGUAAUACUUCGGAACCUGUGCCAAACAUUGAUUUUUCAAUUUCAAUAAACAAGUCUAUAUGAAACCUCUUGCAUGCUUUCUCUGUCGAGUUUGUUGCACGAGGAUUAUAUAGUGCGGUUUACUUAGUUUGUGGGCUAUUACACUGGAGCAGGGUCAAUCAUAUGUGCACCCAAAGUGUAGUGGUUGCGGGUUCCCUUGUCAUAAAAAAAUAAACAAGUCUAUAUGAAAUUACUUUUAGAUAUUUUUAGUAUCGGUGAUGUCCAUGUCAAUUUGCUCACACCUCAAUUAUUCCACCAAUAUUGGCUACCUAGCAUCGGUACAGGGCUUAGAUAGAUGGGGAAAAAUUACCUGGUGUUGUUU